rnacentral:rRNA from 1 species
UACGUAGGUGGCAAGCGUUGUCCGGAUUCAUUGGGCGUAAAGCGCACGUAGGCGGCUUUGUAAGUUAGAGGUGAAAGCCCGGAGCUCAACUCCGGAAUUGCCUUUAAGACUGCAUCGCUCGAAUCAUGGAGAGGUGAGUGGAAUUCCGAGUGUAGAGGUGAAAUUCGUAGAUAUUCGGAAGAACACCAGUGGCGAAGGCGACUCACUGGACAUGUAUUGACGCUGAGGUGCGAAAGCGUGGGGAGCAAACAGG